AACGAACGCUGGCGGCAUGCCUAACACAUGCAAGUCGAACGAGACCUUCGGGUCUAGUGGCGCACGGGUGCGUAACGCGUGGGAACCUGCCCUUAGGUUCGGAAUAACUCCCCGAAAGGGGUGCUAAUACCGGAUAAUGUCUUCGGCCCAAAGUUUUUUCCCCUUUGGUUGGCCCCGCGUUGGAUUAGCUAGUUGGUAGGGUAAAAGCCUACCAAGGCGACGAUCCAUAGCUGGUCUGAGAGGAUGAUCAGCCACACUGGGACUGAGACACGGCCCAGACUCCUACGGGAGGCAGCAGUGGGGAAUAUUGGACAAUGGGCGAAAGCCUGAUCCAGCAAUGCCGCGUGAGUGAUGAAGGCCUUAGGGUUGUAAAGCUCUUUUACCCGGGAUGAUAAUGACAGUACCGGGAGAAUAAGCUCCGGCUAACUCCGUG
rnacentral:rRNA from 1 species